UACGUAGGGUGCAAGCGUUAAUCGGAAUUACUGGGCGUAAAGCGUGCGCAGGCGGUGAUGGAAGACAGAUGUGAAAUCCCCGGGCUCAACCUGGGAACUGCAUUUGUGACUGCAUCGCUGGAGUGCGGCAGAGGGGGGUGGAAUUCCGCGUGUAGCAGUGAAAUGCGUAGAUAUCGGAAGGAACACCAGUGGCGAAAGCGGCUUCCUGGUCCAGCACCGACGUUCAGGCACGAAAGCGUGGGGAGCAAACAGG
rnacentral:rRNA from 1 species